rnacentral:rRNA from 1 species
UACGUAGGUGGCGAGCGUUGUCCGGAUUUACUGGGCGUAAAGGGCGUGCAGGCGGUUUGUUAAGUGCAGGGUGAAAGCUCCCGGCUCAACUGGGAGAGGUCCUUGCAUACUGGCGAACUCGAGGGAGGCAGAGGAAAGUGGAAUUCCCGGUGUAGUGGUGAUAUGCGUAGAUAUCGGGAGGAACACCUGUGGCGAAGGCGGCUUCUGGGCCUUACCUGACGCUGAGACGCGAAGCGUGGGAG